CCUCCUAUUUACCCCCUAAAAUUCCAAGUCAUUAUUUUGAACACUAUAACCAUAAAUGAAACAAAGAGGAACUAAUCAAAGACAAGCCAGAAUACAUCGGGGCUACACCUCUCCCUUGUCUUAUUUCUUCUUCUCUCCCUUUUAUUGAAAUCCAUCUCUAACCUUUUGCUUACUUACUAUACUUUCUCGAUUUUGCACAGAAUUUGGGUAUUUCUAUACAUUUUGUUUUCAUUGGACACUAAAUAUUGUGAAUGAGUCACUAACUUCAUCUAAUAUUCAUGUCUCCAAUUGUUUGGUUUAAAAAAUAGCUCACAUUGUUUGAUAAUAGAUAAGAGGUC
rnacentral:lncRNA from 1 species